GUAUUUGUUUUGGCAGUAUAUGUACUGAAAUUGGAUUGCUUCAGAGAAUAUUAGUAUGGCCCCUGCUCAAAGAAAACAUGCAGAUUUGUGAAGGAUUGAAUGUUUUU